rnacentral:tRNA from 1 species
GGGGAUGUGGCUCAAUGGUGGAGCACCUGCCUAUCAAGCUUGAGACCCUGGGGUUCAAGCCCCAGUACUGCUG